rnacentral:ribozyme from 1 species
ACUCGUAUGAAAGGAAGGAAGGAAGGAAGGAAGACAAAGAAAAAGGAGAGAAAUACGUCGCUACAACAGAUAUAUGUGUG